GACGAACGCUGGCGGCGUGCUUAACACAUGCAAGUCGAGCGGUAAGGCCCUUUCGGGGUACGACGAGCGGCGAACGGGUGAGUAACACGUGGGUGACCUGCCCUCAGCCCUGGGAUAAGCCUGGGAAACCGGGUCUAAUACUGGAUAUGACUCCAUGACGCAUGUUGUGGGGUGGAAAGCCUUGUGCGGCUGAGGAUGGGCCCGCGGCCUAUCAGCUUGUUGGUGGGGUGA
rnacentral:rRNA from 1 species